GAUGAACGCUGGCGGCGUGCCUAAUACAUGCAAGUCGAGCGAACAGACGAGGAGCUUGCUCCUCUGACGUUAGCGGCGGACGGGUGAGUAACACGUGGAUAACCUACCUAUAAGACUGGGAUAACUUCGGGAAACCGGAGCUAAUACCGGAUAAUAUAUUGAACCGCAUGGUUCAAUAGUGAAAGACGGUUUUGCUGUCACUUAUAGAUGGAUCCGCGCCGCAUUAGCUAGUUGGUAAGGUAACGGCUUACCAAGGCGACGAUGCGUAGCCGACCUGGAGGGGUGGUCGGCCACACGGGAACUGAGACGCGGUCCAUACUCCUACGGGAGGCAGCAGUAGGGAAUCUUCCGCAGUGGGCGAAAGCCUGACGGAGCAACGCCGCGUGAGUGAUGAAGGUCUUCGGAUCGUAAAACUCUGUUAUUAGGGAAGAACAAAUGUGUAAGUAACUAUGCACUUCUUGACGGUACCUAAUCAGAAAGCCACGGCUAACUACGUG
rnacentral:rRNA from 1 species